rnacentral:rRNA from 1 species
GUCUGGUUUAAUGCACCUGGCCCGCGGUCCACAAGGCCUGUGAGUGCCGGCGCGCGUUUACCAUCCUUCCAGCAACGGCUACCCUUAACUGGGGCUGGAUCUUGACUUUGAAAAAAUUAGAGUGUUUAAAGCAGGCGUUUGCUCUGAAUACAUUAAUCUAGGACUUCGGUUCUAUUUUGUUGGACUGAAGUAAUGAUUGCUUGGAAGAGUUGGGGGUGCUAGUAUUGGCGAAAUUCUUGGAUUCGGCCAAGACUAACUUAUGCGAAAGCAUU